UACGUAGGGGGCAAGCGUUGUCCGGAAUCAUUGGGCGUAAAGAGCGCGUAGGCGGCCCUGUAAGUCCGCUGUGAAAGUCAAGGGCUCAACCCUUGGAUGCCGGUGGAUACUGCAGGGCUAGAGUUCGGAAGAGGCGAGUGGAAUUCCUGGUGUAGCGGUGAAAAUGCGUAGAGAUCCGGAAGAACACCAGAGGCGAAGGCGGCCUGCUGGGCCUUGUCUGACGCUGAGGCGCGAAAAGCGUGGGGAGCGAACAGG
rnacentral:rRNA from 1 species